rnacentral:rRNA from 1 species
UACGUAGGUGGCAAGCGUUGUCCGGAUUUACUGGGCGUAAAGCGCGUGUAGGCGGUUUGCCAAGUCCGGGGUGAAAGGCGGGGGCUCAACCCCCGAACUGCGCUGGAAACUGGCAGACUUGAGUGUCGGAGAGGGGAGUGGAAUUCUCGGUGUAGCGGUGAAAUGCGUAGAUAUCUGGAGGAACACCGGUGGCGAAGGCGGCAUCCUGGGCCAAUAUUGACGCUGAGGAGCGAAAGCUAGGGGAGCAAACGGG